rnacentral:piRNA from 1 species
UUUAAUUUCUAUCUUCGAAUU